rnacentral:piRNA from 1 species
UUUAGCUAGUACUGAUAGUGA